rnacentral:piRNA from 1 species
UACCACAGCCUCUUUAAAAUACUUUAAAU